UACGAGGGGUGCAAGCGUUGCUCGGAAUUAUUGGGCGUAAAGGGUAGGUAGGUGGUCUCAUUUGUCUGCGGUGAAAGCCUUGGGCUUAACUCAAGAAGUGCCGCAGAAACGGUGAGACUGGAGUCCUGGAGAGGGUCGUGGAAUUCCCGGUGUAGCGGUGAAAUGCGCAGAUAUCAGGAGGAACACCGGUGGCGAAGGCGGUUCUCUGGGCAUGUCCUGACGCUGAGGAGCGAAAGUGUGGGGAGCGAACAGG
rnacentral:rRNA from 1 species